rnacentral:rRNA from 1 species
GAUGAACGCUGGCGGCGUGCCUAAUACAUGCAAGUCGAGCGAACAGACGAGGAGCUUGCUCCUCUGACGUUAGCGGCGGACGGGUGAGUAACCCGUGGAUAACCUACCUAUAAGACUGGGAUAACUUCGGGAAACCGGAGCUACUACCGGAUAAUAUAUUGAACCGCAUGGUUCAAUAGUGAAAGACGGUUUUGCUGUCACUUAUAGAUGGAUCCGCGCCGCAUUAGCUAGUUGGUAGGUAACGGCCUACCAAGGCAACGAUUCGUAGCCGUCCUGAGAGGGGGAUCGGCCCCACUGGAACUGAAACGCGGUCCAGACUCCUACGGGGGGCAGCAGUAGGGAAUCUUCCGCAAUGGGCCAAAGCCUGACGGAACAACGCCGGGUGAGUGAUGAAGGUCUUCGGAGCGUAAAACUCUGUUAUUAGGGAAGAACAAAUGUGUAAGUAACUAUGCACGUCUUGACGGUACCUAAUCAGAAAGCCACGGCUAACUACGUG